GACGUCACGUCGGCCUAUUGACCAUCUGACCGAUGGACAUUCAUGCCUGAAGAAAAAAAGCUUUAUAAACGUCAAUAAUCGAAGGAUUAUCCGUCUUUCUUCAACCUAGCUCAGUAGACAUAUUAAUGUGGGGAUGUUGUUUCCAUAACUAGGUAAAAUACUCAACUGCAUAACCUAGCUCAUACCGACAUAACCGAGGGACUAUUGAAGUGCAACGUCAUCGCCUCUGUUAUUAAUUUACUCUGCGUUUAAGACACAUCAGUCGGAUGAUCAAGCACCCUAUAUCUUGUUCUGUUAACAAGCACUGUGUCAGUAAUAGGUUGACGCAAGUGAGUUAGACUCCGCUACGGCCAGAAGGGGGGGGGGGGGGGGGUUCGCGACAAUCCCUUAAAGUUUCAAAAUUAAUUACCACCCCCCCCCCCCCGUUUCAGGUGUAUAGACCUAUAGUCAUGGAUUGGAUAGCACAAGGUAAUACCAGACUGUGGCUGACAACAGCUGCUAUAGCAUUGGUGGUCAUGUGGUUUGUGAAGAGGAUCGUGUCUCGAACCAAGAACCUUCCACCAGGCCCUACAGGGAUACCCUUGCUUGGCGUAGCUUGGGAAAUGAUAAGGGCUAACCCCGACCCCCUCGGUCUCUACUCGUCUUGGGCUGACCAAUAUGGUGACGUGGUUUCCUUCAAGGUAGGACCUUUGACCUUCGUGCUUCUGAACUCCUACGAUGUCAUACUAGAGGCAUUCAACCAUCCCAACCUCAACAAUCGACCAAAGAGCCGCAUGGUAGAAGAGGUUCUUGGACUUGCCAAUAAUGGGAUCACACUUGCCAACGGUAAGGUCUGGGAGGAGCAGAGGAAGUUUACCCAUUCUGUUUUUCGUAGUCUGGGUGUUGGAAAAAAGAGCUAUGAGGAUACCGUAUCAGCUGAGAUGGACCAACUGAGGGGUGCUAUUGAGGAGAUGAAAGGAGCACCCUUCGAUCCUAACAUUCUCUUUGGACAAGCUGUAGCCAAUAUCGUCUGUUCCAUCGCAUUCGGGACGCAAUAUAAAUACACUAAUGCCGAAUUUAAACAGCUAUUGCGUCUAAUGAACAUCAACAUCGAGUUAUCGAGCGGAGGUGGGGCGCUACUCUUUCUCCCUCUACCCGGAAUAUCGAAGAUUCCUUUUGGAGCACCGAAGAAGAUGGUUGAGAACAUGAAGCAGGUCAACAGGUUUCUCCUGGAUCAGAUUGAAAGCCACGAGAAAUCUGUGGACCUGGAUCAUCCCAAAGAUUUCAUCGAUCUUUACCUUAAGAAGAUGGCCGAUACAAAGGACUCGGAGACCUCAUUCAACAAGAUGAACCUAAACUCGGCCGUAGGAGACCUCUUCUUCGCUGGCACCGAGACCACUACCACCACACUCAAAUGGUGCAUCCUCUACAUGAUGGCGUUCCCCGAGGUACAGUCACGUGUUCAGGAUGAACUUGAUCACGUGGUUGGAAGAGAGAGGCUUCCGGGGCUGGCCGAUUUGAAAGAUCUGCCUUUCACCAAUGCAGUUCUGUUGGAGGUACAGAGGAAGAGCGCCGUUGCCGCUCUGGGUGUGCCACACAUAGCUGCUGCUGACACGACCUUCAGAGGCUACACCAUACCAAAGGGCGCCACCAUUCUGUCCAACAUCUGGAAGGUGCUGAACAGGAAGGAUCGGUGGCAGGAUCCGGAAAAGUUUAACCCUGACAGAUUUCUGACAGAGGAUGGCAAGCUGACUCGGAGAGAAGAAUUGAUAUUUUUCAGUACCGGUCGUCGUGUGUGCCCGGGAGAACAACUAGCCCGGAUGGAAACAUUUCUUGGUUUUACAAGUCUCCUUCAUCGAUUCACCUUCACGAAACCUGAUAAUACACCGGCAUUAUCUUUCGAAGGAGUCUUAGGAAUCACCAGGAAUACCAAACCUUUUAUGACAUGUGCACUCUGUAGGGACUGACAUAGUCGUGAUUACAAAUCAAACUAACAAAUUAUAACAUUAACUUAAUGAUAACUAGACAUUUGAACUGGGCCGAUGCUGUCGGCAAUGUAUAUAAAGCCAAGUGCGGAUCUGGGUUGACGGGUGGGUGGGGGCUGGUUAUUCUGUUUAGAGGGAGAAAGUAGGGGCAUGCGAGCCCAUUUGUAAAUCGGCGUUCUGCCCUGGUAUUUAAAACAAUAUCAAAGAUUUUAAGUGGUCUAGUGAUAAUAUUUAGGAUUUUCUCAACUUUUUAUAGAAUUUUGUUAUUGAUAUAUUACUAAUGAUAUAAAUUCCAUUCAAAAAAUGUA